rnacentral:rRNA from 1 species
CAGCCGCCGCGGGAAAACGAAGGGGGCUAGCGUUGCUCGGAAUCACUGGGCGUAAAGGGUGCGUAGGCGGGUCUUUAAGUCAGGGGUGAAAUCCUGGAGCUCAACUCCAGAACUGCCUUUGAUACUGAAGAUCUUGAGUUCGGGAGAGGUGAGUGGAACUGCGAGUGUAGAGGUGAAAUUCGUAGAUAUUCGCAAGAACACCAGUGGCGAAGGCGGCUCACUGGCCCGAUACUGACGCUGAGGCACGAAAGCGUGGGGAGCAAACAGGAUUAGAUACCCGAGUAGUCCCUGUCUCUUAUAC